AGAAUUGAUCUUGGUCAGAACGAACGCUGGCGGCGCGUUUAAGCAUGCAAGUCGAGCGGCAAGGGCCUUCGGGCCCCUAGAGCGGCGGACGGGUGAGUAACACGUGGACAAUCUGCCCCCCGGCCCGGGAUAGCCCAGGGAAACCUGGAUUAAUACCGGAUGAGACGGGACCCGCGAUGGCGGGACCCGGGAAAGGCGCUGCGGCGCCGCCGGGGGAUGAGUCUGCGUCCCAUUAGCUAGACGGCGGGGUAACGGCCCACCGUGGCGACGAUGGGUAGCCGGCCUGAGAGGGUGGACGGCCACAUUGGAACUGAGACACGGUCCAGACUCCUACGGGAGGCAGCAGCUAAGAAUCCUUCCGACAAGUGGGACGAAAGCCUGACGGAGCGACGCCCGCGUGAACGAAGAAGGCCGUGAGGUUAGUAAAGUUCGUUUCGGGAGGGGGAACAACCGUGGCAGGGAAUGGCCGCGGGAUGACGUGAAUCCCGGAAUAAGCCCCGGCUAACUACGUGCCAGCAGCCGC
rnacentral:rRNA from 1 species